rnacentral:rRNA from 1 species
AUUGAACGCUGGCGGCAUGCUUUACACAUGCAAGUCGAACGGCAGCACAGAGAAGCUUGCUUCUUGGGUGGCGAGUGGCGAACGGGUGAGUAAUAUAUCGGAACGUACCGAGUAAUGGGGGAUAACUAAUCGAAAGAUUAGCUAAUACCGCAUAUUCUCUGAGGAGGAAAGCAGGGGACCUUCGGGCCUUGCGUUAUUCGAGCGGCCGAUAUCUGAUUAGCUAGUUGGUGGGGUAAAGGCCUACCAAGGCGACGAUCAGUAGCGGGUCUGAGAGGAUGAUCCGCCACACUGGGACUGAGACACGGCCCAGACUCCUACGGGAGGCAGCAGUGGGGAAUUUUGGACAAUGGGCGCAAGCCUGAUCCAGCCAUGCCGCGUGUCUGAAGAAGGCCUUCGGGUUGUAAAGGACUUUUGUCAGGGAAGAAAAGGCUGUUGCUAAUAUCAGCGGC